GACGAACCGAGCGAACGUUGUUCGGAAUCACUGGGCUUAAAGGGCGCGUAGGCGGGUGCUCAAGUCCGGGGUGAAAUCCUCCAGCUCAACUGGAGAACUGCCUCGGAUACUGGGUGCCUCGAGGGUGGUAGGGGUAUGCGGAACUAUCGGUGGAGCGGUGAAAUGCGUUGAUAUCGAUAGGAACUCCGGUGGCGAAGGCGGCAUCCUGGACCGGCAUUGACGCUGAACAGCGAAAGCCAGGGGAGCAAACGGG
rnacentral:rRNA from 1 species